rnacentral:rRNA from 1 species
ACUCAAAGGAAUAGACGGGGGCUCACACAAGCGGUGGAGCAUGUUGCUUAAUUCGAGGCAACGCGAAGAACCUUACCUGGGCUUGACAUGUACGGAUUAACUCCUUGAAAGAGGAGCCACACCCUUCGGGUGGAACGUGCACAGGUGCUGCAUGGCUGUCGUCAGCUCGUGCUGUGAAGUGUCGGGUUAAGUCCCUUAACGAGCGCAACCCCUGUCGCUAGUUGCUCGCGCAAGCAGUACUCUAGCGAGACUGCCGGUGUCAAACCGGAGGAAGGUGGGGACGACGUCAAGUCCUCAUGGCCCUUACGCCCAGGGCUGCAAACGUGCUACAAUGGUGCAUACAAAGCGACGCAAGAGCGCAAGCUGGAGCAAAUCGCAAAAAAUGCACCCCAGUUCGGAUUGCAGGCUGCAAUUCGCCUGCAUGAAGCCGGAAUCGCUAGUAAUCGUGGAUCAGCUACGCCACGGUGAAUGUGUUCCUGAGCCUUGUACACACCGCCCGU